rnacentral:rRNA from 1 species
UUGAACGCUGGCGGCAUGCCUUACACAUGCAAGUCGAACGGCAGCACGGGAGCAAUCCUGGUGGCGAGUGGCGAACGGGUGAGUAAUAUAUUGGAACGUGCCCAGUAAUGGGGGAUAGCCCGGCGAAAGCCGGAUUAAUACCGCAUACGACCUACGGGUGAAAGCGGGGGAUCGCAAGACCUCGCGUUAUUGGAGCGGCCGAUAUCAGAUUAGCUUGUUGGCGGGGUAAAAGCCCACCAAGGCGACGAUCUGUAGCGGGUCUGAGAGGACGACCAGCCACACUGGGACUGAGACACGGCCCAGACUCCUACGGGAGGCAGCAGUGGGGAAUUUUGGACAAUGGGCGCAAGCCUGAUCCAGCCAUGCCGCGUGUGGGAAGAAGGCCUUCGGGUUGUAAACCACUUUUGUCAGGGAAGAAACGGCUCUUACUAAUAUUAAGAGCUAAUGACGGUACCUGAAGAAUAAGCACCGGCUAACUACGU